rnacentral:rRNA from 1 species
AGUAAACGCUGGCGGUAGGCCUAACACAUGCCAGUCGAACGGCAGCACAGUAAGAGCUUGCUCUUACGGGUGGCGAGUGGCGGACGGGUGAGGAAUACAUCGGAAUCUACUUUUUCGUGGGGGAUAACGUAGGGAAACUUACGCUAAUACCGCAUACGACCUACGGGUGAAAGCAGGGGAUCUUCGGACCUUGCGCGAUUGAAUGAGUCGAUGUCGGAUUAGCUAGUUGGCGGGGUAAAGGCCCACCAAGGCGACGAUCCGUAGCUGGUCUGAGAGGAUGAUCAGCCACACUGGAACUGAGACACGGUCCAGACUCCUACGGGAGGCAGCAGUGGGGAAUAUUGGACAAUGGGCGCAAGCCUGAUCCAGCCAUACCGCGUGGGUGAAGAAGGCCUGCGGGUUGUAAAGCCCUUUUGUUGGGAAAGAAAAGCAGCAGGUUAAUACCCCGCUGUUCUGACGGUACCCAAAGAAUAAGCACCGGCUAACUUCGUG